UACGAAGGGGGCUAGCGUUGCUCGGAAUGACUGGGCGUAAAGCGCGCGUAGGCGGACCUGCAAGUCGGGGGUGAAAGCCCGAGGCUCAACCUCGGAACUGCCUUCGAUACUGCGGGUCUCGAGUCCGGGAGAGGUGAGUGGAAUUCCUAGUGUAGAGGUGAAAUUCGUAGAUAUUAGGAAGAACACCAGUGGCGAAGGCGGCUCACUGGCUCGGUACUGACGCUGAGGCGCGAAAGCGUGGGGAGCAAACAGG
rnacentral:rRNA from 1 species